rnacentral:lncRNA from 1 species
UGGCCUACAGACAAAACAAAUGAUAAAUCAAAUAAACAUGGUGUUAUACGAUACAUAUAUUUGUAGGUUUUAAAGCGAAAUGUUGAAAUUGAUUCAUGAUCUGCAUUGAUACACCUUUUAUAGUAUGUACACCUUUUAUAGUAUGCACACCUUAUAUCAACAAAAUAUUUUCUCAUACAUUUUAGGAAGAAAACAAUUAAUAAUAAACAGCUGCGUCAUGAGAGCAUGAUACACCCGUCACUUUUUUUUUAAAGUUCAAUAACUUCCCAA